AGAGGUCGCGAGCUGGUGAGUGUCUGUCAGGUGCAUGUUUCUCGAUUCAGCUCCUUAAAGACUGUUUAUCAUUCUUCUUCUAUUUUGAAGGAAGGUCGCAGGUCGGCUUCACAACUUGGAGGAGGUAAUGCCAGAGCAGGAAGGUACCAUUGGACCCGUAGCUCUUUGUCUGUAGAAUGCACUGCCACACUUAUCUGAGGGGCUACGUUCAAGCGAGGGUAUCCUUGGAGAGAGAGAGAGAGAGAGAGAGAGAGACAUAUCUACGAACAUUGUUGAUGCCCUAAGAGAAAGGCAGGAUGAAGAAGGUAGGCAAGAAGGUAGGAACCUAUCCGUUCCUCCCAACUCACUGACUAAUUCCCCACCACUGCCUACCUUCUCAAGAAGGGUCUAGGCCUGAAACGUCAGCUUUCUUGCUCCUCUGAUGCUGCUUGGCCUGCUACGUUGAUCAAGCUCUACACCUUGUUAUCUCAGAUUCUCCAGCUUCUGCAGUUCCUAUGAUCUCUAUUCAAACAAUGUCACCUUCACACACCUGCUUGCAAUUUUCCUUUCCCAAGAACAAAUGUAAGAGUGAACACCAAUCCUCUGCCAAAGUAACAAGAUCAACCUGAAGAACAUUCCUUUCCUUCAAAAUCUUCCCUUUGGCGAUGGUUAUAGUUUCCUCCUUCAGUCGUCAGAAAACCCAGAUGUGAAGUGGUCAGGUAAAGAGCAACAGAAAACAAAACAGUCAUGGAACAGGUUACCAAACCUGAAAAUGCUCCUGCAAUUAAGAUUCAAAUGAAGGGUUAAUCAUCACUGAUGCAAGAGAGGAAUACAAAUACCUCAAAAUCUUAUCAAGUUUUGAUUUUGAAACCUCUAAACAACCUCGUGACAAAACAUUGAAAGAUACAUUUUGAAGAAAAACAUCCGUGGGGAAUACCCGAGUCCUGGAGCGACACAUGGGGAAACCAAAGUCCUGGAGCGGUGAUUGGGGAAUACCCGAGCACCAGUGCAGUGUGAGGGAAGUGAGUCCCAGUACAGCACAGCUUACCUUGUGGCAGCUGAGUGCCGGUGAGGAGCAGACUAGAGACUGGAGCGGAGUGGGACAGAUGUUGGACUGGGAUCUGGUGUGGGCAGUCAGACCACUCGCUGAGCUGCUGCUAUCUGAAAUUCUUUACCAGACUGUAAUGUAAAUUCCUUAACUCUGUUAUAACUACCUUACUUCUAAUUUAUUUUUUCAACAUUGUAAGUAAUGCUACUACUUUUCCUUUUGUAUCUUUUUUCUCUUUUGCAUCCAAGAUUUGGACCUAGGUAUUUGUAGUUAAGAUAGUGCCAGUAUAGGCAGCCAUUGUAAAAACUUUUCACUGUUACCCUGUUUUUUUUUAUUUCUUCAUGGGCUGUGGGCAUUGCUGGCUGCUCUAGCAUUUAUUGUCUAUCCCUAAUUGCCCAGAAGGCAUUUAAAAGUCAACCACAUUACUGCAGGACACAUGUAAGUGACCAGGUAAGGAUGGCAAAUUUCCUUCCCUAAAGGACAUUAAUGAACCAGAUGGACUUUUCCUGACAAUCGGCAGUGGUUCCAUGGUCAUCAUUGGACUCUUAAUUCCAGAUUAUUAUUGAAUUCAAAUUCCACCAUCUGCCAUGGUCGCCAGGUCCCCAGAACAUUACCUGGGUCUUUGGAUUAAUAUUCGAUAAUUGUGACAAAAAAAGCACAAACCCAGUAAGUUUGUUACCUUCAGUAUUCUUCCCCAAACACUCCUGUAUACAUCACGACAGACUGCACUGGCAAAGUACUCAUACAGUGUGAAUAAAGGUAGAACCUAUCAUGUGAAAUAAAGAUACGUAAUUAAAACAAGCUUCUUAAAGUUGUAAGCACUGUAUCAUACAAGACAAUGUGCCAUAAAAGGUUGCUUGCCAAGCAAUUCAACCCAAUGGGCUGCAUUUUACCCUCAUCACGAAACGGGUGUGUUUUUAAUGGCAGAGAACACAAAAUGUCAGGGGGCCAACCCACCAUCUUCUUGCCCACCUCUAACCGAUUGUUAAUAAGAGAAGGCAAAUGGGAGUGGAUAAGCUGCCCACUCUUAAAUCAGGCUGUAAGUGGCCAAAUAUUGAAGGGAAUGUAUAUUUUACUUAGAUGAAAUAGAGUCUUUAAAAGAUUAUACCUUAUGCAACUGAUCAGGGCAUGCAAUGCUGAUAGUUUCAGAGAUAAGGAAGGAAUCACUGAAAACUGCAAAGGGAUUAUUUGAUAUUUCACAAUCAAGAGCAGAUUCCAGACAUGGAGCAAUAUAAAACCAUUUAUUCUAUAACAGUCUUCAAAUAAAUUCCAGACAUUUUUUGAGUCACUGGCCAAAAUUAUGUCUGAAAAGUAACUGCAUUCUUUUUGCUAUAGAUUGGUACAGAUAUGCCAAACUAAAUUUCAUAAAAUGAUAAAAUGUUGAUCAUAAAUGAUUUACAAGGAUGUUGCCAGGGUUGGAGGGCUUGAGCUAUAGGGAGAAGCUGAAUAGGCUGGGGCUAUUUUCCCUGGAGCAUCAGAGGCUGAGAGAUGAACUUACAGAGGUUUAUAAAAUCUUGGGGGGCAUGGAUAGGAUAAAUAGACAAGGUCUUUUCCAUGGAGUGGAGGGAGUCCAAAACUAGAGGGUAUAUGUUUAAGGUGUGGAGAAAGAUAAAAAAGGGACCUAAGGAACAUCUUUUUCACGCAGAGGGUGGUCUGUGUAUAGAAUGAGCUGCCAGAGGAAGUGGUGGAGGCUGGUAAGAUAACAACAUUUAAGAGCAUCUGGAUUUGUAUAUCAAUAGGAAAGGUUUAGAAGGAUAUGGGCCAAAUACUGGCAAAUGGGACUAGAUUUAUCUAGGAUAUCUGGUCGACAUGGACGAGUUGGACCAAAGGGUCUGUUUCCAUGCUGUAUAUCUCUAUGACUCUAUAACUUGAAAAAUCACCAAGAAAUCACCACAAAGAAAUUUUCCAAGCUUGCAAAGCAUGGUGGCUUCACUUCAUAUUCACAUGGACUUGCAGAAGAAAUUACUUGAAAAUAAUCAACAGUAAGGACCAUAACCAAUUGUCCUCUUCAAAUCGUUUGUUCAUAUCAACUUCCAUUCAAAUUAACCACACCAGACCACAAUUAGCAAAGACUAUGGUCGAAGCUGGAUAUCCCUGGCUUCUCUCAAGGGUCUAGACCAGAAACGUCAACUUUUGUGCUCCUAAGAUGCUGCUUGGCCUGCUGUGUUCAUCCAGCUCCACACUUUGUUACCUCUACAUAAUUGAAUUUUGAUUUGCAUCCUCCUUCCCUGGGGCACAAUAUUAAUGCUCCAUUUGUCAGCACCCCCAAAAGUGUGGCCGAACUAACUACCCACAAUUGCUGUGCAAAGUAAUUACAGGUUAUUUAGUCUAUUGAGAAACAUCACAGCACAAGCUUUCACAGAAGGCAAUAAGUCAUCUGUUUUGCAAAAAUGUCAAUCAACAAAAUAAUUUCUCCGCCAAAACAAAAAUACUACUGGAUCAAAUUCCACUGGAACACAAUCAGAAUGAAUCAAUGGCUGACACCUGAUAGAGUAUAUGCCUUUUUUCAGUUGAUGACUACAUGAAUUUUUCUAAUUCAGUCAACAAGUACGUAAGGAAAGUAAUAAUGAGGCAGAGAUGUGGCAGACAGUAAAGAAAAGGAAGCAGAUCUUGUACUCCAGAUCCCACUGUCUUGUGGGACACCCUGCUUCAUGUGCUCCAAGAUCUGUGGAUCGUGAAUCAGCUAGUUCAGCUACAUAUAGAUCAACAGCAAAAACUUUAGAACCUGAGUAGACAACAUCCUGGAAUCGAUAAACAGCCGAUAAUGACAAAAGAAGAUAUGAAAUGGGAACAGAAGUAGGCCAUUAUGCCCCUUCAGACUGCUCAGUCAACCAUUAUAAUAACAGCCUUAACUCUACUGAUGCCCUAAGAUUAAAGGAAGAUUUUGCUUAUACUUCAUUGAAAAUUCAUUUUUGAAAAUGCUCCAAAAUGAGCACACAGAAAAGGGUUUUUUUUAAAAGUUUCUGCAAUAACUGACAUUUCAUCGUGAUUUCUUUGAAGAUCAACUCAGCCCAUUAAAUAAGUAUCAGAGAUAAUGGGAACUGCAGAUGCUGGAGAUUCCAAGAUAAUAAAAUGU